UAGGCACCCAGACAGCUUCAUCUAAUUGAAAUGGUCUCUGUGCCAACUCCCAUCACCCUUGACCCUGCAAAAGUCAUUAGUGCAAGUUUUUGUAAACUAUAAUAAUUACCUUGCAGGGUUAAGUCCUUCUCUAGUGGCUGUCUACCAGACAGCCACUAGAGGAAUUUCUGGCUUCUUAGAUGACUUUUUGUCAAAUAAACAACGCUGGAUAAUGCUUUUUUAUUGGGUGGUCUAAUGCCAGCAUGUGUAUUAGGUCUCCCCGGGGAGGGGGGAGCAUUGGCAGAGCCUG